rnacentral:rRNA from 1 species
GUGAUUCCCUUAGUAAUGGCGAAUGAAACGGGAAGAGCCCAUCGUCGAAUCGCAAGUCAUCUCGGCUUUGUGAAAUGUGACGUUUGGGAGGGUCUUCCACGGCUCAGACGAUCAGUCCAAGUCCAACUUGACAGUGGCCACAGCCCAUAGAGGGUGAUAGGCCCGUAAGGCGGUUGUCUGGCUGUGCUGACCUCUCUCUAGAGUCGGAUUGCUUGGGAGUGCAGUCCAAAGUGCGAGGUAAACUCCUCGUAAGGCUAAAUAUAACCCCGAGACCGAUAGCAAACAAGUACAGUGAUGGAAAAUUGAAAAGAACUUUGAAGAGAGAGUUAAGAGUACGUGAAACUGUGUGGUGGUAAACGGAGGCGUUNCUCGAAGUGUCCGCGGGGGACUCAAGCUUGGUGGUNNGGGCAGCCGGCGCUCUCUGAUCAGCAAUGACUGGGCGCGUCGUGCAGGCUCGCCUCCCGGCCGCACUUUCCCCGCGGUUGACGGCAGGAACUGUUGGGACCGGAYCAAAGGCCUGGGAUGAAGUUGCCGGCCCUCACGGGCUUGUAGCUCCCGGUGUCCUGGCUUCGGGCCCGACGGGGUAUGAGUGGACUUGUAUAGCAAGCGACAGCCUGUUGCGGUUCACAUCUCUCUGCCGAGUAGGUCGG